rnacentral:tRNA from 1 species
AGGGAUAUAGCUCAGUGGUAGAGCAUCUGCCUAGCAUGUAUGAGGCUCUGGGUUCAAUUCCUAGUACUA